GACGAACGCUGGCGGCGUGCUUAACACAUGCAAGUCGAACGGAAAGGCCCUGCUUUUGUGGGGUGCUCGAGUGGCGAACGGGUGAGUAACACGUGAGUAACCUGCCCUUGACUUUGGGAUAACUUCAGGAAACUGGGGCUAAUACCGGAUAGGAGCUCCUGCUGCAUGGUGGGGGUUGGAAAGUUUCGGCGGUUGGGGAUGGACUCGCGGCUUAUCAGCUUGUUGGUGGGGUAGUGGCUUACCAAGGCUUUGACGGGUAGCCGGCCUGAGAGGGUGACCGGCCACAUUGGGACUGAGAUACGGACCAGACUCCUACGGGAGGCAGCAGUGGGGAAUAUUGCACAAUGGGCGGAAGCCUGAUGCAGCAACGCCGCGUGCGGGAUGACGGCCUUCGGGUUGUAAACAGCUUUCGCCUGUGACGAAGCGGGAGUGACGGUAAUGGGUAAAGAAGCACCGGCUAACUACGUG
rnacentral:rRNA from 1 species